AUGACAUCCCCACCCCUAAAUCCUGAUUGGUGGAAUACGUUGGCAUGGGCGUUUGUAGAUCUCUGGUUUAGAAGUUCUACAGGAUCCUGACACAAGGUGGAAGUUCAGCUCCCCAGUCUUCACUGUAGCCCCGAUUGAUUAGUCCUGAGGCGUAUGCUAAAUAAUUCCUGUCUGCCUGAGACACCUACCUGUCUCAUCUCAGCCUUUUGCUGCCUGCCUGCCUGCCUGCCUGCCUGCCUGCCUGCCUGCCUGCCUGCCUGCCUGCCUGCCUGCCUGCCUGCCUGCCUAUCUAUCUAUCUAUCUAUCUAUCUAUCUAUCUAUCUAUCUAUCUAUCUAUCUAUCUAUCUAUCUAUGUGAGACAAGGUUCAUUCAGGCUGGCCUCAACGCUGCCUCCCGAGUGCUGGAAUUAUAGGCACAUGUCGUCAUUCUUCAUGCUUGGCUCUUGAUGUGGUUUUGGGAACUGAAAGCAAGGUCUUCUGCAUGGAGGCACGUGCCCUAUGAGCAGUAACAAACACCCACAACGGUCUUUAAGGGACGGCAUAGGUAAGUACUGGGAAUUGAACCUUGUGUACUGGACAAGCACUUUAAUUUUCUUCAUUGUAGCCUAACGGGGUGGCACACACUUUUAAUCCCAGCACUCAGGAAGCAGAGGCAGGUGGAUCUCUUAGUUUUAAGCCAGCCAGGUCUACAGAACAAAUUCCAGGACAGACAGAUCUACACAGAGAAUCCUAUCUAAACAAACAAACAAAACAACCCCAAAACAAGAAUAAAACAAACAUCUGCAUUGUGUCAGGCAUCAGGUCCCUCCUGUUCUAAAACCAAUUUAUGUCUAGAAUUUGCAUCGUUUUUUCCUUAUUCCCACUCCCAGAUCAAGCCUACUCCAUCAUCUUCAGUAGUUUCCAUCUCCCCACAUCGCCCGCCGCCACAAAUGCCCGUGUCAUCCACUGGCACUCAGGGCAUGGCGUAGAGGGAAGCAUCUGACUCAGGAUCAGCACAUUCCGUCAGCCUGGGAGGCCGUUAGCACAUGCUCCACUGUUGUUCUGCUCACCUCUCAUUUGCUGUCACCAGAGAACAAGCUCCUGCUGUGUGUGCACGACAGAGAACACAGCCGGAUCCCAUUGCCUUCAGAAAUGUGGUGCUUCUGCACACGAACACGCUUCCUUAAUACAGCUUUGUUGAGACGGGUUUGCCAGGUGGCACUGAGAGGACUACAUAGGGCUGGUCCUGAACUUGCAAUCCUCCAAUAUCAGCCCUUUAGGUGUGAGAAUUACAGGUACCAGCCACAACAUGUAGUAUUACAGAACUUUCUUGGAUCCGUCAGCCACCAAAUAAAGACACAAAGACUUAUUUUUAUUA